GAUGAACGCUGGCGGCGUGCCUAAUACAUGCAAGUCGAGCGAACAGACGAGAAGCUUGCUCCUUUGACGUUAGCGGCGGACGGGUGAGUAACACGUGGGUAACCUACCUAUAAGACUGGGAUAACUUCGGGAAACCGGAGCUAAUACCGGAUAAUAUUUCGAACCGCAUGGUUCGAUAGUGAAAGAUGGCUCUGCUAUCACUUAUAGAUGGACCUGCGCCGUAUUAGCUAGUUGGUAAGGUAACGGCUUACCAAGGCAACGAUACGUAGCCGACCUGAGAGGGUGAUCGGCCACACUGGAACUGGGACACGGUCCAGACUCCUACGGGAGGCAGCAGUAGGGAAUCUUCCGCAAUGGGCGAAAGCCUGACGGAGCAACGCCGCGUGAGUGAUGAAGGUCUUCGGAUCGUAAAACUCUGUUAUUAGGGAAGAACAAACGUGUAAGUAACUGUGCACGUCUUGACGGUACCUAAUCAGAAAGUCACGGCUAACUACGUGCCAGCAGCCGCCGUAA
rnacentral:rRNA from 1 species